rnacentral:rRNA from 1 species
AUUGAACGCUGGCGGCAUGCUUUACACAUGCAAGUCGAACGGUAACAGGCCGCAAGGUGCUGACGAGUGGCGAACGGGUGAGUAAUGCAUCGGAACGUGCCCAGUCGUGGGGGAUAACUACUCGAAAGAGUAGCUAAUACCGCAUACGAUCUAUGGAUGAAAGCGGGGGACCGUAAGGCCUCGCGCGAUUGGAGCGGCCGAUGUCAGAUUAGGUAGUUGGUGGGGUAAAGGCUCACCAAGUCAACGAUCUGUAGCUGGUCUGAGAGGACGACCAGCCACACUGGGACUGAGACACGGCCCAGACUCCUACGGGAGGCAGCAGUGGGGAAUUUUGGACAAUGGGCGCAAGCCUGAUCCAGCAAUGCCGCGUGCAGGAAGAAGGCCUUCGGGUUGUAAACUGCUUUUGUACGGAACGAAACGGCUCUGGUUAAUACCCGGGGCUAAUGACGGUACCGUAAGAAUAAGCACCGGCUAACUACGUG